CAGGGAGACAACAAAAUGUUUAAUAUUAUUAUUUUGUCACCUUAGGUCGAUCGGUAUCUCACAUUCUUAAAUUAAUUAAGAAUUUCAUUUCCUAAGUUUUUCUAGGUCACACCCAUUUUUUUCCUGGGCCAUUAGCUCAGGUGGUUAGAGCGCACCCCUGAUAAGGGUGAGGUCCCUGGUUCAAGUCCAGGAUGGCCCAUAUCUCUAUGUUGGGGGUAUAGCUCAGUUGGUAGAGCGCCUGCUUUGCAAGCAGGAUGUCAGCGGUUCGAGUCCGCUUACCUCCACUGAUUACCACCUCUUCCAUAAUCUGGAUAAAGGAAACAUUUUGUGUUGUGAUCAAAUUCUGAACGAAUCUAGCUUCCUAAUGAAAUCAUUAAGAUGCUGGACUCAUUGAAUUAAUUUCAUUGUUUUCAGAGAACCUUGACAACUGCAUAGAUUAUUUUUAAAGACAAUAAGCAUCUUUUAAUGAUGCAGAUUUAUUAUUUGUGCGAAUGCAUUAAUAACAAUUCUAUUAAGCUGAUGCUUCAAUAUUGAAGUUAUU
rnacentral:tRNA from 1 species